rnacentral:tRNA from 1 species
GAGGGUGUGGCUCAGUGGUAGAGCGCGUGCUUAGCACAUGCACUAGGUCCUGGGUUCAAUCCCCAGCACCUCCA